UCACAUGCAUGAUGUGAGACUGCAGGAUGGACAGGACAUUGAGAAAAUAUCACAGAGAAGACUGCUGGUUCCAGCAGCAAUCUUGCCUGUGAGAAGAGAGAGAAAUGGGCUCCAAAUGUUCAUGUAAGAAGCAUGCCCGGUGAAGGCAUCCAAUUGGUAACAGCACAAAUGAAUAACAUUGAAAAUCACAGACUGCCUUCCAGCAGAACCUCCGGAGCUUGGAAGAUCAUCAAGGCCAUUGGGGAUGGAAUGACCUGAGCAGAAGCCACAAAAGAAGAGCUUUCUGGUAAUGUUCCAGGAACAGAAACAAGAGUUUCAGAAGUUUGUGAAAAUGGAGGGAAAUAAAAUCUUCACUAAACUUUCAGACUGAAAAAAAAAAAAAAAAAGCCCUUCUGAUUCUGAUAGAGUGAUUUUAUCACAGAUCCAAACUGAUUUUAUGCAGAAUUGUACAUUCAUAACUAGUUACUCUUCACUGUGUCUUCUCAAGUAGUAAUGCCUAAACCAAGCAUGUCCAACACAUGGCCUGCUGCCUGCUCUGCUUGCCCCGAGGCCAUCCUCUCACCCAUGCUCAUCAUCAUGGCGGCUCGGCCCCACCAAGUGGCCUGGCCCAGCCCCGGGCAUGCACCCAUCACUUACUGCCAAUGGAACAUCGAUGCAAUAUUAAUCUACUCUGGGCUGAAAUCAGGACGCGGGGAGGGUACAAUGCAGUGCUAACUCAAGUUAUGGCGGAUAAGUUUACAGAUUCUGACACAUUGGCUAAACACAGCCCGGUGAGCAGCAAAAACUAUGCAGCUGUGCUUUCUGUUUCGGUAAAGGAAUUUGAGAACAGAUUUCAAGACUGCCAAAAUAUCAUCAUUUUUUUGGUGUAUUUGUGACUUCAUUCUCAGUUGACAUAAAUACAUUACUUGUGAAUUUUGUUACUCAUAUACACUAACUAUGUUAUAUAUUUUAUAACUGCUGCUCUGAAAUUAAUGCGUCCUAUUUUACGAUGCUGUCCCAUGACGCCAGAAGAAGAUAGUGGUGGUAUGGCAGAAGAGGCUGAACCUUCCCACCAAUAUUCUGUUACAUGUUGCUGUUGUGUGACAGAUGGCAGCAGAGGGGCAGUCUGACAAAACGGCAUCUGACAUGGACACGCUUAUGAAGCAAAGGUGUGUUAUUGAAUUCCUUCAUGUGGAAAAAAUAGCACCCACUGACAAUCAUCAAUGUUUGCUGAAUAUUUGUGGAGACCAAACAGUGAGCACAGUGAUGCAGUGUGUAGUGCAUUGCAGCAGUGGUGACAGCGACAGUGGGACACCUCCACCGAUAUGCAGAUUUUUUAUGAGGACAGCAUUCAGGCUCUUGUUCAUCACUAAUUAAAAUGCAUAGUUUAUGGUGGUGACUAUGUUGAAAAAGUGUGCUUCGUAGCUGAGAAUUUGCUCUAUCAAAUAGAGUUACUAUGCUCUUUGUAUCAGUUGUAGUUUCCACAGAAAUAAUUAGGAGGCAUUACUUUCAGAGCAACCUUCAUAAAUGCAGCACAAAACAGUUCUUCUUCUCUCCAUGCAGCCCAGGCAAACCAAAAGGUUGGACACCCACAGUCCAUAGAGUUGGUGUCCAACUUUUUGUUUCGCUUUGGCUGCAUGGAGUGAAGAGAAACUGUCUUAGGCCAUACACAAAAUAUUUAAUAUAGUUAAUGCAUAUGAGUAACAAAAUUUCUUUUUUAAGAUGUUUUUUUAUUAAAACAUAAAAAAAGAGGGCAACAGAACCAUUAAACUAGCGGGUUGGAUACGUAUGGUUUAGGGCUUGAAGUACUACUGAACAGGGGUGAACUUGUUCUGCCACUGCUUCAGGAUAUGAACCUCAGCUCUUUUCUCUGCUUCUCAGCUUUUUCCCUAUAUAAAAUGGUGGCAUUCUUUCUCUUCUUGCAGACUUGGCCAUGCAGUUUUUUCAUGUCUCAGGUUUCUGACUGUGGAUUAUUACAAGUUAGUGGUAUUAAUUACACCAUAACUGGUCAUCCAGAGGGCAAUAAUUAAUUAUCAAAGGGCUUGUUUUGCGCUAGGUUGAAAUGGAUCGUUAGGUAAUUUAUAAUGACUAGUAAAAUAUGUUAACUCGAUCAAUUUUUGCAGAUCUGUUUAACAAUUCACUGUCAGUGGAAUGCAAUUUUCAAACCUGUACUUAAGUACAUUCAGCAAUAGGGCAGAUACAAACACUGCAGCCAAAGGCUACAGUGAGAUUCCUCAGCACAGACACAUGGCUAAGAGCUUUUAGCUUUCCUUCAUGGAGAAUUACAUACAGACUGAAAUAUUUGGCUGGUGUGAUCUGCCUGGUUUGCUCUUUGCAUCUUAAUAGAAAUACAAGAAGUGCAUUCAGGAGCACUGUGAAAGCUGUCCACAGUCUCUCAUGGGGCUAAAGCUACAUCUCACCAAACAGUAAAUGUAAAAUAGGCCACGUGCCAGGCAAAAAAAUCUGUGGCAUCAUGUUUGAAUUCACUUUUUUGGCUGCUUUGCUAUCCUCAAAGGAGUCAGUGAGUGCACCAAUGCAACUCAGUUUUUGAAAGGGCUAAAUGAAGCACUUCAUGGUAACAGUGAGUGUGAUUAUAUUUUCUAAUGAGCAUAAUGACUUCCCUUAGAGACAAGAAAAAUAAGCAAUGUCAAAGAUCAGUCAGGUUUUCCCCUCUUCGUCCCACUCCUCUAUGAAACAGAAAGACCCGUUUUCCAUCCUAAAACCAGCGGUGCCCCUGCAGCCCUCAAGCAGGACAGAGGAACAACUUUAGUGACUCUUUUUCUGCCAUGUUGAAUGACUUGACAGAGCAACUGGCUCAAAUAAGAAAAUACUUGUGGCCUUUGUGGCUAUUUUUUCCCCGAGUAGUUCUGGCCCUUUUAAGAAACCUAUGUAUUAGGUCCUCUCUGCUCAGCCUUAACUCUCUGGUUCCCCAUGACCAGCCUCCUUCACUGCUGUGGGAUUUCUCCCUCCUUCACACAGUAAAGGCAGAUUUGGACCUGGGUCUGCAUGAAAAAUCUGUAAGCUAACUUCUAGACUUAAAAGGACUUACUUUAUUAAUUAAUUUCAUCGUUUACUAGAAAUACCGGCUAUGAAAUAAACUAAUUAUGAUCC
ensembl:lncRNA